CACGUAGGGACCAAGCGUUGUCCGGAUUUAUUGGGCGUAAAGAGCUCGUAGGCGGCCAACUAAGUCCGACAUGAAAUCCCAAGGCUUAACCUUGGAACUGCGUCGGAUACUGGAUGGCUUGAAUUCGGGAGAGGGAUGCAGAAUUCCAGGUGUAGCGGUGAAAUGCGUAGAUAUCUGGAGGAAUACCGGUGGCGAAGGCGGCAUCCUGGACCGAUACUGACGCCGAGGAGCGAAAGCGUGGGGAGCGAACAGG
rnacentral:rRNA from 1 species